ACGAAGUGGGAAGAGCCCGCGAUGUUAAUCCGUUUCUGACGGAGUUGUGCAUCGAGUUUUUAGCUAUUGAGAAACUGGAAGUAAGAUGCCUGGAAAGGCACGCCAGAGAGGGUGACAGCCCCGUGCUUAUUCCAAUGAUUCUUAUGUACAGCUAUAACCUAAUGAGUCACGCUCUUUGGGAGUAGAGCGCAAAAUGGGUGGUAACCUCCAUCCACGGCUAGAUAAUGGUGAGAGAUCGAUAGCAAACAAGUACCGUGAGGGAAAGUUGAAAAGCACUUCGAAAGGAGAGUUAAAAUACCUGAAAUCGCUGAGGGGGAAGCGGCUGUCCGUGACCCGAUGUAUGAAAGAUUUCUUUCAUUACAUUACUCGACAUCACUUCCAUAUGAUAGGACUUGUUAUCGCUUCGGCUAUAACAAAGCUUCUCGCAUCGAGAAGUGUGGUACGCCAUUGCAAGUUGUCGAGGGUGGCAUGUACAGACGAC
rnacentral:rRNA from 1 species